ACGGAGAACAUCAGAUUACCUCCACCUGCGUAAGGGAAAAGGAGCAGGUGUUGUCCCUUCAACCUGUUGUUGAAGGGACUCGAUUGGGAGGAGCACUGUGCUUCCGUGAGUCUCAAACCUGAUGGAUCACUGGACCGAUGAACAGGCCGUCCUCAGACUCAGCUCACACUUGGGUUCUGAAAACUGCACCUCUUCAAAAUAUGUCAGAACCAAUUUUCCCUGAAGAACAAUCUUUCAUUCCUGGAAUGAGAGGUUUGAUGAAAUGCCGUAGUUGAAGCUGAGAGUCUUCUGAUUCAUGCUCUUCCAGAUGAGAGCUCCUCCAGAGGCUUUUCUGAACAUCUGACAGGGAGCCGAGCACAUGACUAAUUGCCCUCUGAAAAUCAAGCUGACGCUAUUGAAGACUGAAGCCAAACUGGACUCUUAGGGGUGAUGCCUUGAUGCAGAGGAGUUUGAGAUCCAAGCAGACGUGAAAAGAGAAUUGAAAAAGCA